rnacentral:tRNA from 1 species
GUGUUUGUAGUUCAAUGGCAGAACGUCCGAUUGUGGAUCGGAAGAUAAGGGUUCGAUCCCCGCAAACACC